AUGGAAAUGCUAGGACAGUUUGACCUGGAUUCUGAAGCAAUGAGUGCAUGUAAAAAGACCAGGGAGGAAGCUACAUCUGUUGUGAGUUCAGACAGCAUUAGCAGUCUACCUCCAGAGAUAAAGGGCGACAUCCUCUCCCGUUUGAAUGUCGAAGAAGCGGUUAGAACUAGCACCCUAUCAAGUACUUGGAAGGAUGCAUGGACUUAUAUGCCAAAAAUAAUUACGCGCGAUGGAAAUUUUGCACAAACAAAGUUUGUUACGUUGGUCGAUACGGUGCUAUCACUCCACAAGGGAACCAUAGAAAAGUUUGAUAUAUCAGGUAAAGGAAGUUACCAUGAUGAAUUCGUUAGGUGGAUGCUCAUGCUGUCAAGGAGAUCACCAAGAUCAGUUAUAAUCAAGUUGAACUCAGGGCCAAGGUAUAGGAUUCCCUCAUGCCUCUUUUCUAUUGCCUAUCUGAAGUGUCUGUGCCUGGAAAACUGCACUAUCAGCCUGCCCCGGGCAUUUGAAGGUUUCAAGAGCCUAACUUACCUCAGCCUGAAAAUUUUCUGCUCAACAGACAGAGAUAUUCAAAAUCUGAUCUUGUGCUGCCCCAUACUGACCAAUUUGAUAUUAAUUUAUUUUGAGGGCAUCCACUGUCUAAACAUUCAAGCUCCUAAACUGGAAUAUCUUAAAGUUUAUGGGGACUUUGAAGAUAUUGCUUUGGACGCCCCUAAUCUGGAGGAGGCCACUCUCUCUAUUGAUUACAGAUCUAAUGUAUAUCAAUCUGUUCCAAUUGCGCUCCACAAGGAAAGCCUUGUCAAGCGGGCACUGGGAAGCCUUAGUGAGAUCAAAUCACUUUUAAUUACUGGUUUUUUCCUGAAGUAUCUAUCAAAGGGGUGCAUACCUAUGAGGCUCCCUGCCGUGUUUCGUCGGCUGGAGUAUAUUUAUGUUAUGAUAAAUUUUGAGGAUCAGAGGCAAGUGUUGACCGCAUGUUCAUUGUUUCAGAUUGCCCCUAACUUGAAGGAGCUUAAGAUAUCGAGUUACCGUUGGGGCAUACCUGAUCUGGAUGAUCAGGAUCAGGCGAGCACUCAAGAACUUAUCAUGCAAAUGCAAAUGCAAACGGACCAUCUCGUAACGGCCAGUAUGUACUAUUUCGAGGGUUUGGACUAUGAAAUUGAUUUCGUGGCAAAGAUACUGAAGGUAGAGUGGAGGGGCGACGUAGAGCGCAGCAAGGUUGUUGCCAAGCUGCUACUAGAUCUACCAAGGGCGUCUCCCAGGGCCAAGGUCAUUGUUACAUUUUGA
rnacentral:rRNA from 1 species